rnacentral:lncRNA from 1 species
UGUUAUUUACUUGAUCGAGGUAUAAACAGCAAAAAAAUUCUGGCAUUGUUGAGUAAAUCUGUCUUUAAGGCUUCCAAGGAAGAAGUAAUCUCUUCUCAAGAUCAUGUUCCUUUUGAACUUAAAAAYGAAAGACAUGAAAUGGACCCUUCAGAGUCAAGUCUAGGAUUUGUGCCUAUUACUAGUGAAAGUAAACUUAUAGCAGUCAAAGGACCAGUACCAUGCCAGAUUUCUCUAAAUUGUGAGAAGGCUACAUUACCUGCUGC